AGGUGUGUUGGGUUUGUUGGCAGUGAGUUUGUAGGCAUGUAUCCAGUAGAGCUGUAGCAGGGUCUGCAACUGAUCUGCAACUGUUUGGAUGCAGUGUCUCGGAUUUGAGGAUGGGGACUUCAGGACCAUCUCCAGAAAGAUAUUGGGAAUUCCUCACCUUUUCUACUCCUGCUUCAGGUAUGGAAGGGGUGCCCCAUGAUUCUUGGUCACAUCACCCCAGCUAUGAUGGAUGAGGACUCAUUGGGCUCUCAAACUGAUCAAAUCUGAGCUCCAAACCUGUUUCUGUUCAUUUGCUCCCGGUAGUAACUGAUCCCUUGUGCCACGUGUGGCUCAGCUAAUUAAGAAAUGCAUUAGGCAUAGACCUAAUGAGAGAAGCUUCAGAGCAUCUUUGUGCUGAAGAUGCAUCAUAUCUCCUUGUUUCUGCAGCAAUUCUCAUUCACGUUUUUGGGGGCUUCUUACUUCAUAAAUAGUGUCACCAGGGAAGAAAGUAUUAUUCAACAUGAGUAAAUGUGACAGCAUCUGGGUCUACAGUUAAGUCAAACCCACUCUGAAGUGAGAAGUGAAGAAGCCUAAUGCUGCUCUGUGAGUCACUGGCAAAAUCGGAACGAAACCAAGAAUCUCUUGUUAUCAGCUCUACAAUACAAACUCUGUUGUCCCAACCUUUCAUUAACACACUGAUAGCUCUUAGAGAUUCAGUCUGUUUUUUCUCAGGAUAAACUUUCACCUAUCUUUGCACUAGGCAGGAAUUCCUUGCCUCUUCUUGCUCUUUGUUAACUUUCUCUGUUCCCAUAAACACCAGGAGUGCUGGGCUCCAACUGCCAGGUGUGGGUAUGAAACUGCAAACACUGGCAAAUGCCGAGUGUUUGUUGCCUACCGGGCUGCCCUGAGCCUCUCUCACCUGGGUAGGCAUCUCCCUACAGCUCUUACAGUUGUUUUCAUUUUUUGUGGGAUGCUGCAACCCAAUAUGAGCAUAUUAGAAUGCUGUGAGUCAGGCCUCCUAGAAAAGUCAUGCAUGACUUAAAAUCACAAGGAUGAUCAAAAACAAUAAAAUGCAUGCUUUCUAUUUGCCUUUGGGCUUUCUAAAGUUAAGGCACACCCACGAAGGCUAGAAACUCAGGGCACCUAUUUUUCAUGAGCUACAUGCAGUGCCUUUUUUCUUCUUUCUUCUUUUUUUUAGUUAUUUACUGAAACACUUACAGUAAAAUGACCAGAAUGGCCAACACUGGUUCUGUUGCUGAAAGCACUCAGUGAAGCCAAGUCUUGAGUCACUGACAGAAGAGAACGUUAUAUGCUAGGCAGUUCAGGCAUUGUGAGACCAAAAGAUGAAAAACAUUUCCCUGGGAAGUAAAGUUUUGAGGCCUUUCCACACAUUUGAAAGGAAUGGAAGCUUAAACUCUGCUGAAUUUCUUGCUUCUAGCGAAGUAAUUUUCUUUCUUUCUUGAAAGCAGGAAGGUUGUUAGAUACAAGGAUUCAAAAUAGGAAGGCAAAAAAACCUUUGAGCUCAAGUAAUGUGUUGAUGGGAAAAUGUUUGCUUGCCUUUAGCUGUAGUGCCUCGCUUCCUUGCGGCUGUUUUACUGCAGGCAAAACACAACAACAUCGCAAUGAAUAAAAUAUUAAAUACUGUUGAGGCUUUUAUAAGGACAUUUUUAUAGUUCUUCCAGGUGCAGUGGCAUCCUUUUAAUUACCCUGACAUGACAAAGAGUGCUGCAGAGCUGAAGUGUUGAUUCUCUGGUGUACUCAAGGCCAUAAAAGUAGCAGCCAGGGAAGGGAUCAACUGCAGCUGGAAGGUUCGUGUCUGUGCACAGAACUGGUCAGUGUUAUUUGUUCAGAUCUGUCCUUAGUCAUCACCCUGCCAGUAGGAGGAAAUCAUGCAUAAAAAAACCCAUCCAUAAAAAAGCAUCACUUGAUACUUGACUUAGCCAGCAAAGCAUUGAUGUCUUCCUAAAUUCCACUGCUCUCCAGUGCUUCCCUCUGGCCUUAUUUUAUUUAACAUGUGCGAUACAGUAAGGAAUAAUGUGCCCAGCCAGUGCUCCCCGUCUUUGUCCAUCUUUGUAGCUCUGCAUUAGACCCUUCACAUCAAAACCCCAUCCUUCCACAACCCAUGUGUGUCUGAUAACAGCUCUGCUUUGCUAGAAGAGUAAUGCUCAUGUGCAGUUACUCCUUGUUGUCAAGUCUUUCACAGGAUCUGAAUCUUACUCUUAUAUUCUUGGAAUAUAAGAGUAGAAAUCUUACUCAAAUGUUCCCCCAGAUGUUAGCAGGAUCCCAUUUCUCAGGAGCAGAAUCAAUCCUGAUCCCACUGAAAUACUUCUUACAUGUGACGCCAAUGCAAACAAUCAAUUUUCCCACAGAAUAUUAAGAGUGUAAAUACUUGCCCUUGUAUUAAACCUGCCCCAAGUGUGUUAGGAAAGGCUCACUAUGUACUGUGGUGAGGUUAUGCCUCUUUUGUCCUGUGGCAUCUAUAAAUCAUAUGAUAUACAUGAAAAGGUGUAACUUUUGUUGUUAGAUAUGGACCAAUACACAGGUCUUCAAGGUUUAUGACUUUCUGUUUUGCUUGUUGUUUUGCUGUCUCUGAUUUACCUGUGACUUAAUAUUGAUUCUGAACUACACUGGGACGUUUUGUUAUCAGAUAGCUUUCUGUUUUAUGGCUGGUAAUUCUCCCAGUUCCUCCCUUCCAAGAGCAAGGGCUCCAGCACGUUUCACUGUGGUGCUUCCAAUGAUCAGUGCUUCCCCCAGUGUUUUUUGCUGGACAUUAUUGACACCAGCAUAAAAGUAGCACAAAAGGUUGAGUGUCUCAUACUGCAGUACAUAGCCCAGCAUCUCAGACCCCAGCACAUCUCUGCCAGCACUGUAAAUGGGCCCAUCUUGAUUCUGAGCUGGGUGACCAUCCCUUCCU